AUUGCCUCAGUAACGGCGAGUGAAGCGGCAACAGCUCAAAUUUGAAAUCUGGCUCCCCGCGGAGUCCGAGUUGUAAUUUGCAGAGGAUGCUUCGGGCGCGGCGCCUUCCAAGUCCGCUGGAACGCGGCACCACAGAGGGUGAGAGUCCCGUAUGGUCGGCCGCCUAGUCCGUGUGAAGCUCCUUCGACGAGUCGAGUAGUUUGGGAAUGCUGCUCUAAACGGGAGGUAGACCCCUUCUAAAGCUAAAUAUAGGCCAGAGACCGAUAGCGCACAAGUAGAGUGAUCGAAAGAUGAAAAGCACUUUGAAAAGAGGGUUAAACAGUACGUGAAAUUGUUGAAAGGGAAGCGCUUGUGACCAGACGUGCGCCGGGCGCUCAGCGGGCGUUCUCGCCCGUGCACUCGCCCCGGCGCAGGCCAGCGUCGGUUCGGGAGGGGGGACAAAGGUGCCAGGAAAGUAGCUCCCCCGGGAGUGUUAUAGCCUGGUGCGCAAUGCCCCCACCCGGACCGAGGUUCGCGCUCUGCAAGGACGCUGGCGUAAUGGUCCCCAGCGGCCCGUCUUGAAACACGGACCAAGGAGUCGAGGUUUUGCGCGAGUGUUUGGGUGUUAAACCCGCACGCGUAAUGAAAGUGAACGCAGGUGGGAGCUUCGGCGCACCACCGACCGAUCCUGAUGUUCUCGGAUGGAUUUGAGUAGGAGCGUAGGGCCUCGGACCCGAAAGAUGGUGAACUAUACUUGGAUAGGGUGAAGCCAGAGGAAACUCUGGUGGAGGCUCGCAGCGGUUCUGACGUGCAAAUCGAUCGUCAAAUCUGAGUAUGG
rnacentral:rRNA from 1 species